UAGUAUGAACGGCAUCACGAGGGUUACACUGUCUCCCUAUUCCAUUCAGUGAAACUGAUCUUCCCGUGAAGAAGCGGGAAUAUAAAUAUAAGACGAGAAGACCCCAUGGAGCUUUAAACUCAGUGUCAUCUGCCACUUCAAUACCCUCUUAAUUACGCAGACCAUGAUAACUAGUUUUCGGUUGGGGUGACCGCGGAGUAAAACAAAACCUCCACAACGAAAGGAACUAACAACCUAAUCCAAGAGCAACAUCUCUAAGAAUCAACAAAUUGACUUAAUUGAUCCAAUUACUUGAUCAACGAACCAAGUUACCCUGGGGAUAACAGCGCAAUCCAUUUCAAGAGCUCAUAUCGACAAAUGGGUUUACGACCUCGAUGUUGGAUCAGGGUAUCCCAGUGGCGCAGCAGCUACUAACGG
rnacentral:rRNA from 1 species